rnacentral:rRNA from 1 species
AUUGAACGCUGGCGGCAGGCCUAACACAUGCAAGUCGAGCGGAUGAGGGAAGCUUGCUUCCCGAUUUAGCGGCGGACGGGUGAGUAAUGCCUAGGAAUCUGCCUAUUAGUGGGGGAUAACGUUCCGAAAGGAACGCUAAUACCGCAUACGUCCUACGGGAGAAAGCAGGGGACCUUCGGGCCUUGCGCUAUCAGAUGAGCCUAGGUCGGAUUAGCUAGUUGGUGAGGUAAUGGCUCACCAAGGCGACGAUCCGUAACUGGUCUGAGAGGAUGAUCAGUCACACUGGAACUGAGACACGGUCCAGACUCCUACGGGAGGCAGCAGUGGGGAAUAUUGGACAAUGGGCGAAAGCCUGAUCCAGCCAUGCCGCGUGUGUGAAGAAGGUCUUCGGAUUGUAAAGCACUUUAAGUUGGGAGGAAGGGUUGUAGAUUAAUACUCUGCAAUUUUGACGUUACCAACAGAAUAAGCACCGGCUAACUUCGUGCCAGCAGCCGCAGUAACAC